rnacentral:lncRNA from 1 species
CAUACCCAAAGAUGUGGUGGUGGUGGAAGCUGUGGGGAUUGCUGAGAAUGCCCAGGCAAGUGGAGACUGAGGAAGAGAAACCUGACAAAAAGAAAGGGAAGGCAUCCAGUGAUGGAGAAAGAAAAUUAGGAGAGUAAGGUGUCAUUGAAACAAAGGUAAGAGAAAAUUAAAGAAAAAGCCAUACAAAACAGAAGUGGUUAGUCUUGAAGCUUCAGAGAAGUCAUAUAAGGUAAGAAAUAAUAAGCGUCCAUAUGUAUGUGUUUGUGUGUGUGUUGCAACUAUGAACUUCCUGGUGACCCAAUGGAGUGGUGAACCCAAAAGGCAAAUUGCUGAGAGCUGAGAAUUGAAGAUGGGGUGAACAAGUGCAGAUGGUGGGCAAAGGAGUACAGUAAGAUGGAGAACUAGAGUUGAAGGAUAAUAUUUUACUUAUAAAGAGAAGAAAGAGGCUAGAGCCAUCUAAAGGAUGAGGUUAAAGAUUCAGUUGAGAAGAAGAGAGUGAUGAUAUAAGAGACAGAAUAGGAGAACCAAUGUCUCUGAGGAAUUACUGUGAGAAGAUGAUAUUCCAAAUAUGGAGGGGAAGCUUCCACCUCCACUUGGCCAGGUUCGGGUGCUGAUAAGUCUGAAGGUGGCAAAGCAGCAAAUGGGUGGAGUCCCUGCCUGAAUGCAUCUACUUUGUAAGUGGGAGCAAGGUCAUGGUAUUAGUCAUCUGCUGAGAAUAAAGGGGGACAGAUGGAAUAGUAAGCCCAGGGAGAGUGGAAAAAACUGAAAUCUGCAAUAUGCCAAAUGGGAGAAAAGGCAGAGUGGAGAAAAAUAUAUUUUCAGGCACAGCUUAUAUGUUAUGUUUAUAUGCUAGAGAGUGGAGGUAGAAGGAGAGUCAGGUUGAAAAGAGAGAUGAGAGGAGGUAUCAUUGAUGCAUCCUGGAGAGUGUGAUCACCUUUGCAUAGGGGGAAUGUAACCUUUAUCUCUGACAUAAGAAGGAAUUAAGUGAGGGAUUCGGGACUCAGUUAUGCACUUAAUAAAUAAUUUCUCUAGAGUCUUAUGCACAAGGUGAAGAAAGAAAUUUGGACUAGAUGCAAAGGCAAUUCAGUAGGCAAAGUACCUUGCUGAAGCAAUGCUGAUUAAUGAUUUGAUGUUUGUGUGGAGGGAGAAUUCAAUUUGCCUGGCCAAGGAUUCUGUCCUUGGCUCUGUCCUGUAAGGUCUUUUUUUUCUCUUUUGAAAAAUUCAAUACCUUGGGUAGAAAAAUAUAAGGCUUGCUCAUUAAAUGUGUACAAACAAGCCAGAAGGGAUAAAGAUGAUGGAGAUCUGGGAUGACAGAAUUAAGAUCUAAAGAACAUUGACAGAGUGAAGUGAUUGGUUUUGUCUAAGGAGAUAGAAAUAAACAAGAACACAUAUCCAAUAUUUUACCCUGGUGAAAAAAAUGAAACAAAACUAUAAUACAACUGAAAAGUUCAGGAUGGUGUAAAUAAAUGUUUUGAUAUUCUAGUUGGAGUAAAUUAGUGGUAUUCUAGACAUGGUAGUAUGGGCUUUUGUGAGCCAAUUUUUUAAAAUUUAUUUAUUUCAGUAGGUUUUUGGGGAACAGGUGGUGUUUGGUAACAUGAAUAAGUUCUUUAGUGGUGAUUUCUGAGAUUUUGGCACACCCAUCACCCAAGCAGUGUAUACUGUACCCAACGUGUAGCUUUUUAUCUCUCACCCACCUCACCCUUCUCCCUGAGUCCCCAGAGUCCAUUGUAUUAUUCCUAUGCCUUUGCAUCCUCAUAGCUUAGCUCCCACUUAUACCCAGGAGGAGGAUUGCUGGAUCAAAUGAAGCUUUUUAGUUUAAGUCCCAUCUAUUUAUCUUUGUUUUUGUUGCGUUUGCUUUUGGGUUCUUGGUCAUGAAGUCUUUGCCUGAAUUAAUGUCUAAAAGGGUUUGUCCAAUGUUAUCUUCUAGAAUUUUUAUGAUUUCAGGUCUUAGAUUUAAGUCUUUGAUCCGUCUUUAGUUGAUUUUUGUAUAAGGACCCCAGUAUAUCUUUCUCACCAUUUCAUACUACACAAUGUUACCACAGGCAUUCUUUAAAAUGUCCCCAUCCACAAAUCUUAGGUCUAAUCCCUUGUAGUGGGGUGACUUGCGUCUCCCAAAAAGCUAUGUCCAAGUCCUAAUUCCUGGUACCACUGAAUGUGAACUUUCUUGGAAAAAAAGUCUUUGCAGGUGUAAUUUGUAAUGAAGUUGAGGAUCUCAAGAUAAGAUCAUCUUGGAUUUAGG